rnacentral:rRNA from 1 species
CACGGGGGGAGCAAGCGUUGUUCGGAAUCACGGGGCGUAAAGGGCGUCUAGGCGUUCAGAUAAGGGGGAUGUGAAAUGCCCCGGCUCACCCGGGGACCGGCAUCCCAAACUGUCUGGCUUGAGUAUGGGAGAGGAUGUGGGAAUUCCUGGUGUAGCGGUGAAAUGCGUAGAGAUCGGAAAGAACACCAACGGCGAAAGCACUCUGCUGGGCCGACACUGACACUGAGAGACGAAAGCUAGGGGAGCGAAUGGG